ACCAAAGAUCUGUACGGAAGCAACGCCCCGAUGAGUCAUGAAGGUUUUUCGGAUCGUAAAGCUCUGUUCGCCCACGGGAAAAAUGCUUGGGAGCAGUAAACUGCUACUCAAGGUGACGGUACCUGAGAAGAAAGCCCCGGCUAACUACGUGCCAGCAGCCGCGGUAAUACGUAGGGGCAAGCGUUGUCCGGAAUUAUUGGGCGUAAAGCGCGCGCAGGCGGCCUUGUAAGUCUGUUGUUUAAACUUGGGGCUCAACCCCAGUCGCAAGGGAAACUGCAAAGCUUGAGUACAGAAGAGGAAAGUGGAAUUCCACGUGUAGCGGUAAAUGCGUAGAGAUGUGGAGGAACACCAGUGGCGAAGCACUUUCUGGGCUGUAACUGACGCUAGGCGCGAAAGCGUGGGGAGCAAACAGGAUUAGAUACCCUGGUAGUCCACGCCGUAACGAUAAUGCUAGGUGUUAGGGGUUUCAAUACCCUUGUGCCGAAGUUUACACAUUAAGCAUUCCGCCUGGGGAGUACGGUCGCAAGACUGAAACUCAAGGAAUUGACGGGACCCGCACGAGCGUGCAGUAUGUGGUUUACAUUCGAAGGCACACGCGAGAAUCCUUACCAGGUCUUGACUCCCGGGUAAAAGCAUUUGGAGAUUUGUGCCCCUCUUCGGAGCCAUUGGACAGACAGGUUGUGCAUGGUUGUCCGUCAGCUCGUGUCCGUGGAUGUUGGGUUAAGUCCCGCACGAGCGCACC
rnacentral:rRNA from 1 species